UUGAACGCUGGCGGCAUGCUUUACCCAUGCAAGUCGAGCGGUAACAGGCCUUCGGGUGCUGACGAGUGGCGAACGGGUGAGUAAUGCAUCGGAACGUACCCAGAGGUGGGGGAUAACGCAGCGAAAGCUGUGCUAAUACCGCAUGUGAUCUGAGGAUGAAAGCGGGGGACCGAGCAGCAAUGUUUGGCCUCGCGCCUUUGGAGCGGCCGAUGUCGGAUUAGCUAGUUGGUGGGGUAAAGGCCUACCAAGGCGACGAUCCGUAGCUGGUCUGAGAGGACGACCAGCCACACUGGGACUGAGACACGGCCCAGACUCCUACGGGAGGCAGCAGUGGGGAAUUUUGGACAAUGGGCGCAAGCCUGAUCCAGCAAUGCCGCGUGCGGGAAGAAGGCCUUCGGGUUGUAAACCGCUUUUGGCAGGAACGAAACGGUGUCCGCUAAUACCGGGCGCUAAUGACGGUACCUGCAGAAUAAGCACCGGCUAACUACGUG
rnacentral:rRNA from 1 species